rnacentral:tRNA from 1 species
CUAAAUAGACGGGCUUCGAUCCCGCAAAAAUUAAUUAACAAUCAACUGCCAAAACCAACAGACUUCUAUCUA